rnacentral:piRNA from 1 species
AUUCUGGAUAAGUUGAAUUGGGAU